ACCAUCUCUUUCUCAAAUUUCUGAUUUCUCUGCAAGAUUUUUAUACGAAGCACAUAAAAUCGAAGCUACCAUCUCCUACACAGCAAAUAACAGUCGAAUCCAUCACAAGGUUGCUGUCAUCUGGAGUAGUUGAACAUAGCUUCAUUCGUUGUCUUUCAUUUUCGAGUUAAAGACAAGGUAACGAUGCAGUCUUCACUCUUGUGCUUGUUGUGGUGACUACUGAAAAUGCCAUGUGAAACAAUUAGGGGUUUAUGCCUUGGAUUAAAUUGUUUGGGCUAUUUGAAAUAAUUAGGGAUCUAUAAAUUUUGAGUAAAAAAUGGUGUUUAGAUGAUGAAAAAUUGUUGUUGAAGAGAUGAUUAAUGGUUUGGAAACAUGAAAUUGGAAAGAAAAGUAUAAGAAAAUGGUGGGUUGUAGUGAGAGAGAGGAGCAGGUUUUGGGUUGUAGAGAGAGCAAAUGAUUAGAAGACGAAGAGCAGGGGCAACGGCCUGCCGGAUGCGCUUAAGAGACCAAGCGGUUAGCCGCAUAAGUAGGACUGAGGUUUUGUUAAAUCUCAUGGUUUAAAAAACCAGCCCUUAGGGAAAAACUUUGAAAUUGCUUGAAAAUGAUCAGCAUGGUAAAAUCCAUCUUCUAAAGAAAGAAUAUUUUGAAAAUGGGUUUUAUCAAACCAAUCGGAGAUUUUCUUUUAAGGUGAUGGUUGGGAAAGCACAAUUUGGGAAGAAGAGCUUUCACUAGAGACAAUCACAUUUUGAGAAGAGGGUUUUGAGAUUUCUUUGGAGAUAGGGUUUUCUUUUUCUUCUUUUGAGAAAAUCUGGCUUUGAGAAAGGUUUUGUAAGGCGAGCAUAAGCUCAGGGGACUUUGUAAUGGAACUCAUCCAUUGUUUUACUUGGUCAUCAGAAGAGGUGGUUUUGUAAUGGGCACCAUGUUCUUCAACCAUUUCUAUCCAAGAUUUAAUAGGCAUGGCUGAGGAAAGUAAUUUGUCUUUAGAAGGGGUAGCUUGGGGUUCUUUAGAGGUUGCUCUAGAUUCAGAAUCUUUAAGAACAUCUUUACCUUUGUCUUUCUUCUUUGGCGGCAUUAUCUGUUUUGAAGAAAUUCCCGAGUUAGAAAAUUAGGAAUAAAAUUUGUAUCACCUUUAAUAUAUUCAAUAUCAAAAUCAAAAACACUUAAAAUGGCUUGCCAUCGUGCAAAAAUCUGUUUUGAUGCAAUAUUUUGAACAUCUUUUUCUAAAACAUGUUUUGCAGCUUUGCAAUCAAUUCUAAGUAGAAAUUUUUGAUUUAAUAAAUCACUUUGAAAUUUUGUAAUGUAUAAAACAAUGGAAAGAAUUUCUUUUUUGAUAGUAGAAUAAUUUUUCUGGCAAUCAUUCCAAUGUGCAGAAACAUAUUGUACUAUCUGUUCUUUAUCAUUUUCUUUUUGCUUUAAUAUGCCUCCAUAACCUAAAUCAGAUGCAUCAGUUUCAACAAUUUUAGGUAAUGUAGGAUUAGCAAGAUAUAAACAUGGGAUGCUUUUCACAGAAUUCUUUAUAAGCUUUACAACCUUGGUAUGUUCAUCUGUCCAGGGAACAGGUUUUUUCUUUAAUAUAUCAUGCAAGGGUUUAGACAUCCUAUUAAUGUUAGGACAGAAAUCAAGAACAUAAUUUAAACUUUCAAGAAAUCUUUGUAAUUAGGUUUUAUCAAUAAUUUUAUCAGGAAAUUUAUCAGCAAACAAAAGAGAUCUCUCGAUUGGAGUGAUUAUUCCUUUAGAAAUAUGAUGACCAAGGAAUCUGACUUUUGUUUGAAAUAAAGAAACCUUAGAACUAGAAAUUGUCAAUUCAACCUUUCUGGUGGCAAAAUAAAAAGUCUUUAAAUAUUUGAAAUGCUGGUCGAUAGAAUUUGAAAAUAUCAAUACAUCGUCAAUGUAAACAAUGCAAAAAUCAGAAUAAGGAUUAUAAAUAUCAUUCAUAAUUCUUUGAAAUUCUGAGGGUGCAUUCUUUAAACCAAAGGGCAUAACAGUCCACUCAUACUGUCCAAAUGGAACAGUAAAAGCAGUUUUGUAACGGUCAUUAGGAUGAAUUUGAAUUUGCCAAAAAACCAGAUUUCAUGUCGAAUUUUGAAAAAAUAAGAGCAGAACAUAGUUUUUGGAGUAAAUCCUUUUUAUUAGGUAUUGGAUACCUAGUCCAUUUUAGAGCAUUAUUAAGAGGUUUGUAGUUUAUGACUAAUCUAGGAGUGCCUCUUUCAAUUUCAGAAUUUUUAUUAACAUAAAAAGCGGCACAAGACCAUGGGGACCUUGACUUAACAAUGAGUUCUUUUGACUCUAAAUCUUUGAUUUCAUUUUUGCAAUGUUGUUCCAAUUCCAUGUUCAUCUGGAUUGGACGUGCUUUAGUGGGGAUCUGUCUUUCAUUAAAAGAAGUUUCAUAAGGUAGAUCUACCAUGUGUUGUUUUCUGUCCCAAAAAGCAGAAGGUAGAUCAGCACAAAUUUCUUUUUCCAUGAGAGUUUUGAAAUCAGAAAUCUUUCUUUUAAUGAAAUCACUUUGUAAUUGGCUUUCAAUUCUUUGUAAGUUUAAAUCUUUUUGUAAAAACAUUAGAUCACGCUGUUUUGAUUUAAUUAGGUUAUUUAUUCUGUUUUGAUAAACAGAACAGGCUUUAACAAUAUUCAAAUUCCUUGUUUUAGGUUUUUCAAUAAAAGGGAAAACAAGUUUCUUGUUUUUUGCUUUGAAGGAUAUACUAUCAUAAUUGACAGUAUAUGGAGUUAUAAGAUUUAUAAAAGGAGUUCCCAAAAUGAUGGCAUGAUGAAUAUCAUUUGUGAGGACAAAAGAAGUUUUAAAAUCAAAACCAUUAUUAUGGAUUGAGGCUUCAACUUUGGAACUGACAUUCAGUUUUGAAUUAUUAGCGGCAGAAAGUCUUUCUUUUGUUUUUUCAUGAAAUCUUUUGGGGACGAUGUCUUCUCUAAUGCAAUUUAAAUCGGCGCCAGUAUCAAAAAGGGCAAUGGCGUCCAUUGCAAAAUCAUCAGAAAAGAUUAAAGUGACUUUAAUCAAAUACUUUCUUGUGGUGAUUUGCUUUAAAACAAAUAGAAAAUCAUUGGGUACUGACUCAAUGUUUUCUAUUUUAAUAUCAUCACCAUCAUCAGGAUUAGAUUCAUUGUCUGAAUUAUCCUGCAAUUAUUUUUGUAAAAGAAGUUGGAUAGUAUCAGAAUCACUUUUUUGUUUUUCUUUUAAAUCUCUGAUUUCACAUUUGAUUUCUUUUAUCUCUUUCUGAAGAUCUUGGAUAUUAGGAACCGUCUUCUUUGUUUUCUUUUUAUCCAAAAUUUGAGUAAGAUCAUAAGAAUUCUUUUUAACAAUUGGGACUUUAGAAGUCUCGGCUUUAUUAAAAUCCAAAGUUUUCAAAAGUUUAUCAAGAUAUUCUUUUUGAAGAUUUGGAUCAGAAAUAUGCUUUACAAGUUCAAGAAAAGUUUCUUGGUCUUUAGUCAAAACAUUGAUUUUCUUUAAAUAUGAAUCAGAUUCAGAUUCACUACUGCUAGAUACAGAGUCAUCUGAGUCAAAAAGUUCAUCAACUUGAUAUGGAUCACUGUCUCCCGACAUAGAAGAUUCGGAAUCAGAAGAUUCGACAAGAAGGGGGGCUAUUUUGGAAAGGAUUUCCUCAUCGAGGUCAAGUUCACGAAGCUUUUUGUUAAUCCUGUAAUAAUUUGCAGUAUGACCUUUCAUGCCAUAUUUAUGACAUAUAGCUUCUUUGUAAUUGAAAGGGGUCUUUGGUUUGGCUCGAAACUCCUUUCUUUUAGAGAAUUUGGGUUUCUUAUAAGGCCUCGAAGGUUUCUUAUAAGUAGGUUCUCUAAAAUUACGAAAGGGUUUCCUAAAAGUUUUUUAUUUGUAAUGUUUCCUACGAGGUUUAGUAGAACACUUGCCAUUACAAUCUUUGGGAUAAGAAGUUUUAAAGGGGCCAUAAUUGAAUUGUUUACAGAAACCGCCUAACUCUUGUUUAGACUUUUUAAGUUCCCACUUAAGACGUUUCUGUAAUUUCAAAUCUUGACAAAUCUUUAAUCCUUCUUUAUUGACGAAACUGACAAGUUCACCGUAAGUAAGCUCGUCAUAUGGAAUACGAUUUUCAUAAAGGGCUUUGAUGGAAUUUCUUACUUUUUCACCUAGAAUGGUAGGUAAUCCAGCAAGAAAUUUUUCUUUCCAAGUUAUAUGAUUUGCAUCAUCCCUUAGAAAUAGUCUGGUAAAAAAUGAGGUUUUGUAACUUUGAAAUUCACUAAGUUUCCUACAUCUUAAAUUAUGUAGUAACUCAGCGUUUUUAUCACGAAGGUGUGAAGGGUCACCAAUGAAAUGGAGGGAAAUUGUUAAAAUUAGAGUAGCAACAGCAUCCUGAAUUGGAUUGUUGAACUCAUCAAGAAUAGGGACUCCAUUUUCAUCGACUUGAAUGGAAUUUAAAAUGUCUAAUUGUUGCUGAUUAGUGAGAAGAUGAUCCCACCAACCUUUUAAUUGACCAGUAAAACCGGCAAUGAGGAUUUCUGAUAUAGCACGAUCAGAAGUUCCUGCUUGGGUUUUAUAGGCAUUGGUUGUCAUUGUCAUUUGUUGCAACAAUCCUAGGAUAUUGUAUUCGGACAUGCCGUCAAUAUUCCACUCAUAGACUGAAGAUGCAUUAUAUCGGGAUUGAUUUAAUACACUUGGUCUAUUAUCUAUUGCUAGAUCCGGUGGAGUCUUGACAAUGGGAAGGGCUAAUUCCCAAUGAAUUUUGUUGGCUUUAGGAGUAGAAGGUUCUUCUUUGAAGGCUUCUGGUAUCCAAUUUGUUUUAUCUAAAGCAAUCAAUAAAGAAUUAUUUCGAAAACACAAUUAUCCUUCGAUCCUAUUUCCUUCUGGUAUCAUAGCCAAGGGGAGGAAAGUGUUUUAUUGUUUAGAGUUUCGUGUUUAAAAUCUUGUGUUUUAUUUUGAAGUUUUGUUUUGUGGUAAAUUUUUACUGGUUGUAAGUCCCGUUUUAGGAUAAGGAUUCCGCUGAGGGUUGUAAAUCCAUACCUGUAGCCAUUUUGACCAAACCAAAAAUAUACCAUAAGGUCUUGACCAUGGAUCCUCCGAUCUAUAGAACAUCGUCCUUUUCUAGCUCUUCUUCCGGGAAGACUAGUGAGUCAAAGCAUGUUGUGAGUUCAGAAGAAUUCAUUAUUGAGAACUUUGAUAAAGCAAUUAAUUGUUGGGAACUUCCAAAAAUUUCCAAAGAAAAGAUUUACAAAACAAAAAUGCUUGAUCUUUUAAAGCAUGAUUAUAUUAUAAAGACUGAAGAACGUGAUAUAACUCUUUCAGAGCCUUUUGAAACAAUUUAUUUAUUUUCAGAAAAAUCUUUAAAGAAAUUAAAAGAAAAGAAUUUCAAAUAUAUUCACAUUGGUUUAAUCCAAGUAGGAAUAAAACCUUUGACCAAAGAAGGCUUGGAUACUUCUAUCCUUGCUGUUCUUAGAGAUGGGCGAUUCAUCUCUUUUGAUGAUUCUUUACUAAGUAGUAUCGAAUCUAGUCUAUGUAAAGGUCCCAUAUCUUUUGAUUGUUAUCCAAAUAUAACAAUUUCUCUUAAAGACAAAAAUAUUUUAAAGAGCAUGAUUUUACAAAUCAAAACCCACAAUUAUCAUAUGAUUAAGGGAUCCAUCCCAGUUGCAUUAAUUUUUAAAAUUUCUUACAAAGCAAUGAUUUCUGCAUUUAGCACACAACAUAAAUACCAGUCGAAAAGAGAUGAGACCCUUCUCUUGCAGACUGAUUUGUCCAAAGCAAACACAGUCAUUCCUAAACCAAUCCAAUGGAAAGAUGUAAAUCUUCCAGAGGAAUGGAUCCUUGAAGGAGCCGCUCCACCAGCGAUUCCGAAACAACUUGAGCCCAAUACAGAGUUGCAAAAUGUUACUCAGUAUUCCGAUGGUAAAGUCAAACUGUCAUUCAGGAGAUCCACCUCAUCCAGAUUUUCUGAUAAAGCAUCGUGCUCAAGCAUUCCUUCAUUAGAAAGGAAAUUUACAAAAAUACCCUCUGUUAUAAAUCUCCCUUUUCAGUCCAUAAAAAGUCAAGUCGAUAGAGAACAAUUUGCAACUCUGUACAUUUUGUCUUGUUCUAAUACUCCAAUCUUGCUAGAUUGAGGAGUAUCAGGGGCUAUCUGAACUUUGCUAGAUGAGGAAGAAGCAGUUUCUAUCCUAUCCAAUUGUUCUCUAAUGGCUUUAGCAAUUUGUUCUCUAAUCCUUAUUCUGAUUUUUGCAUUGUUUACAUUGACGAUGUAUUAAUAUUUUCAAAUUCUAUCGACCAGCAUUUCAAACAUUUAAAGACUUUUUAUUUUGCCACCAGAAAGGCUGGAUUGGCAAUUUCCAGUUCUAAGGUUUCUUCAUUUCAAACAAAAGUCAGAUUCCUUGGUCAUCAUAUUUUUAAAGGAACAAUCACUCCAAUCGAGAGAUCUCUUUUGUUUGCUGAUAAAUUUCCUGAUAAAAUUCUUGACAAAAUCCAAUUACAAAGAUUUUUUGGAAGUUUAAAUUAUGUUCUUGAUUUCUGUCCUAACAUUAAUAGGAUGUCUAAACCCUUGCAUGAUAGAUUAAAGAAAAAACCUGUUCCCUGGACAGAUGAACAUACCAAGGUUGUAAAGCUUAUAAAGAAUUCUGUGAAAAGCAUCCCAUGUUUAUAUCUUGCUAAUCCUACAUUACCUAAAAUUGUUGAAACUGAUGCAUCUGAUUUAGGUUAUGGAGGCAUAUUAAAGCAAAAAGAAAAUGAUAAAGAACAGAUAGUACAAUAUGUUUCUGCACAUUGGAAUGAUUGCCAGAAAAAUUAUUCUGCUAUCAAAAAAGAAAUCAUUUCCAUUGUUUUAUGCAUUACAAAAUUUCAAAGUGAUUUAUUAAAUCAAAAAUUUCUACUUAGAAUUGAUUGCAAAGCUGCAAAACAUGUUUUAGAAAAAGAUGUUCAAAAUAUUGCAUCAAAACAGAUUUUUGCACGAUGGCAAGCCAUUUUAAGUGUUUUUGAUUUUGAUAUUGAAUAUAUUAAAGGUGAUACAAAUUUUAUUCCUGAUUUUCUAACUCGGGAAUUUCUUCAAAACAGAUAAUGCCGCCAAAGAAGAAAGACAAAGGUAAAGCUGUUCUUAAAGAUUUUGAAUUUAGAGCAACCUCUAAAGAACCCCAAGCUACCCCUUCUAAAGACAAAUUACUUUCCUUAGCCAUGCCUAUUAAAUCUUGGAUAGAAAUGGUUGAAGAACAUGGUGCCCAUUACAAAACCACCUCUUCUGAUGACCAAGUAAAACAAUGGAUGAGUUCCAUUACAAAGUCCCCUGAGCUUAUGCUCGCCUUACAAAACCUUUCUCAAAGCCAGAUUUUCUCAAAAGAAGAAAAAGAAAACCUUAUCUCCAAAGAAAUCUCAAAACCCUCUUCUCAAAAUGUGAUUGUCUCUGGUGAAAGUUCUUCUUCCCAAAUUGUGCUUUCCCAACUAUCACAUUCAAAGAAAACCUCCGAUUGGUUUGAUAAAACCCAUUUUCAAAAUAUUCUUUCUUUAGAAGAUGGAUUUUACCAUGCUGAUCCUUUCCAAGCAAUUUCAAAGUUUUUCCCUAAGGGCUGGUUUUUUAAACCAUGGGAUUUAACAAAACCUCAGUCCUACUAUCAAAGCAUUUUAGAAAUCACUGAUUCAGUUAAGUUCAAACAUUUCUUUCUUAGUGAAUCACAUUCAGAACCAGCCUAUUCCACGGCUACUAUUUUAAAAGUUUUGAGCCCAAACCAAUAGGGUGACCUACUCCAUAAUUUUAAAACUUUCCCUUUAAAUUUUCAAACACGUUUACCUCAUUGUCGGACUUAUUCCUACUGGGAUUACCAACAAGCCUGGUAUAACACCUUUUUUAUCCAAAAUCCCAAAAAAUCUCAUUCUUGGUUAUUUUUCUUCAACCCAAAAAUAACCGUCCAAAGCCUUCCAAACUGGUUCCAUAAUUGGUGGAAUACUUUUGGCCCAAUACCACAAAUUUUAACCCCGAAUGCCACCCAUUAUUUAAACAUCUUCAAAGCCCACUAUACUCCUUCUGAAUCCGAGAAAAGGUUUCCCCCCUUUCUCUGUUUCUGUACAAAUUUCUUCCUUCCAUGGGUAUGGAUGUGGAACCUUAGGCUUCAUACCCAAGAUUCCCAACUCAUCCUUCAAAUAACCUUUAAAGUAAAAUGGUGGUCCAAAUUUGACGAACAGUCAAAAUUAACUGAAAAUUUGGUCCGAGAUUGGCUCUCUGCGAAAGGCCUUCUUCAACCCACCAUAACACAUUCCAAAGCCCAACAAACCUUUUUGACCCAAAAUUCCAAAGCCCAAUCACUAUUGGCAAGUACCAAAACAGAAAAAGAAUACUUCAAAGCCAUGGAACAGCUCCUCGCCUCCCGGUCAAAGUCAUCAGUGGCUGACACCUCUGAAGACGAAGAUGAAGAUGAAGAUGAAGAGCCAUUCAUUUCUCUUGGAGACGAAAAUGAAGAUGAUUGUUUUGGAAUUUUUUCUCCUUUAAAGCAUUUGUAAUUUUAUUUAAAAAAAAAAUUAUUUGUUCUGUAUCUUCGGGUGGCCCUCUGGACACAAUUGAGAGCGCACAUGUCUCUUCACUCGUAUUGUAUUUCAAUUUUUGUACAAAGAAUCGGCUAUUCAAAGAUACGAUCCAAAUGUUACUGUGCACUUAAAGCUCCGCUACAGUGAACAGUGCAGAUUUCCAGAGUUUACUGUGCACUUAAAAUCCCACUACAGUGAACAGUUUAAAGAUCUUUGUAUAAAAACCGAGAGGAAGACUCAGACUCCUCAGGUUUUUCAUUUCUAAGUUUAGAACUUCUCUCUCUUCUUCUCUCCUUUCUCUCUAGAAUUCUCUCUCUCUCUCUCUGGGAAUAGGAAUCUGGAAUCCGAAGACAAAAAGGAAUUUCUCCUGUCUUCAGAUUAAUUUCCCAUUAUUUCCUUUUCUUCUCUACAAAGAAAACCAACCGAUGUAAGCAUUUCAUUCCAGUUUUAUUAAAGCAUUUGUAAUUUUAUUUAAAGUAAUUUUAAUUUCCGCACUUUAAAUUUCAGCAAUUUAAAUUUCUGCAAUUUAAUUUUAUGUAGCAUUUAAAUUACCGCAAUUUACAUUUAAAGCAUUUAAAUUUCAGUCUUUUAAAGCUUUCUUUGCAUGCUCUGCAGACUGAUCUAUAUCAGAUCUGCCAUAUAAAUUGUACGUUCCUCUGAGGCAAAGAGACCAGAUCUCGAUCCUCAGUUGUAAAAUCUUCUCUUCUCCCUUCAUUCCUUCAGAGCACCAUUUUCGGGAACCGGAUUUGGUACUGUGUUUGUACCCAAGCCUUUAGAUGUAUGUGUUGCUAGGCUUGCUAAAGAAUUUAAUAAAGAUUUUGUAAAUUGUUUAAAAUCUGACAACCGCGUUUAAAGAACUUAAUUAUUAUUUGGUAAAGCAAAAUUAAGUUGGUAUAUCGGCUGGAAACCCGAACGUGCGGGCUAUUGAUCUGUUCUAAGUCAGAUCUGGGUCCAAAGGCAGAUUUCCUUCUGCAUCGAUCUGGUUUAACAACGCCACGUACUAAUUUAAUAUAAAACCUGAACAACCGCGAUCCAAAGCAAAUCUACUUAAUCUAAAGUUGGUAACUGAAUUUAAAAUUUGAACAACCGCGAUCCAAUUUGUUUUAUCUAAAGCAAUCAAUAAAGAAUUAUUUCGAAAACACAAUUAUCCUUUGAUCCUAUUUCCUUCUGCUCUCUCUCUCUCUCUCGGGGGAAAUCAGGAUCAAGACAUCAAGGAAAAUUAUUCUUGUCUUGUAAUUUUCCCUUUCUACAAAAUCUGUAAACAUUUUCCAUUGUAAAGCUCUCGAAUCCAAGCAAUCUAUGUAAGCAUCCCUCAUCCAUCGAAAUUGUAAAUGUUGUAAACAAAACUCUGACUCUCAAUGUCACACAGCUUUGAAUUUAAGACAACUGAAGCUUGAACUGUGGCGAGUCUGUUGCUUCAGUUGUGGGUAACUUGGAUGGAUGUGAUAUUAGAAAAUGAAAAUGUUUUAUUAAAGAAAUCAAGUCGCAAAGGUGGGAUGGGUUCUUAUUAUUAUGAUUAAAUCGGUACGUGGCGUUGUUCUACCUGAUCAAUACAGAGACUAGUCUGCCUUAGGGACCAGAUCUGACUUAGAGCAGAUCAAUAUCCCGCAUGUUCUGGUUUCCAGCCGGUAUACCCAUUUAAUUAAUUCUUUACCAAAUAUUGAUUAGAUUCUUUAAGCAGAAAAUGUUUUCUUUAGCAAGCCUAGCAACAGAUCUAAAGGCCCAUAGAUAGUAUUAGAUCUGGAUCCCAUAAAUAAUACUCUGAAUGGUUGGAGGAAGAAGAGAAGAUACAACAGAAGACAGAGAUCUGGUCUCUUUGCUUCUGAGAAACGUAACAAUUUUUAUGGCAGAUCUAAUACAAAUCAGUCUGCAAAGUAUGCAUAAAAUUUAAAUUUCUGAAAUUUAAAUGCUUUAAAAUAAAUUACGAAAAUUAAAAAUACUUUAAAUUAAAUUGUGGAAAUUUAAACAUAUAGAAAUUUAAAUUUAUUACAAGCUUUAAAAAAAAUUACAAAUCUUACAUUUAAUUUUUCUUUGCUUUGUUUUUCUUUAAAGGAAAGUGUUACAGAAGGAAUGGGAAAUUAAUCUGAAGACAGGAAAAUUCCUUGUCGUCUUCCGAUUCCUGAUUCCCAGAGAGAGAGAGAGAGAGAGAAAAGGAGAAGAAGAAAAGAAAAAAAUAGAAUUCUAAAAAAUCUGAGGAGUCUAAGUCUUCCUCCCGAUUUAAAUACAAAGACUGGAUCUUUAAGACAGUAGUCUUUGGAGUUGUCUUUGGAUAUUCUUUAAAAAUACAAGUAUGAUUUGGGUGAAGAGACAUGUGCGCUCUCACUUGUGUCCAGGGGACCAACCGAGGGUAUAAAAAUACAUAUUCUCAUGCAAGAAAGGAAAGAUACAUAAUAGAAAUAUGGAAUAUAAUUACUCUUUUUUUUUACAUGCAUAUAAAUGAUAACUAUUUACAAUGCUUUAUCGGAGAGAAAAUUCCAAAACAGUCGUCUUCAUUUUCGUCUCCAAGAGAAAUAAAUGGCUCUUCAUCUUGUUCAUCGUCAUCAGAGGAGUCAGCAACUGAAGACUUUGAUCUUGAAGUGAGGAGCUGCUCCAUAACUUUAAAAUAUUCUUCUUUAGUUUUGGCGCUGGCCAAAAGAGAUUGGGCUUUGGAUUUUUGGGUAAGAAAUGUUUCUUGGACUUUGACAUCUUUAAUGGUGGGGGGUAAGAAGCCUUUAGAACAGAGCCAACUUUGGAUCAGAGUGUCAGUUAAUUUGGUAUGUUCGUCGAACUUUGACCACCAUUUUACUUUAAAAGUUCUUUGUAAAAUGAGUUGGGCUUCUUGGGUAUGAUAUCUGAAAUUCCACAUUCAUACCCAUGGAAGGAAGAAAUUUGUACAGAAACAGAGAAAGGGGGGAAACCUUUUCUCAGAUUCAGAAGGGAUAUAAUGGGUUUUAAAGAGGUUUAAACAAUGGGUGGCAUUUGGAGUUAAAAAUCUGAGGUAUUGAGUCAAAAGAGUUCUACCAUUGUUGAAACCAAUUAGGGAGGCUUUGAACGGUUAUUUUUUAAUUAAAGAAAAAUAACCAGGGAUGAGAUUUCUUUGGGUUUUGUAUGAAAAAUGUGUUAAACCAUGCUUGUUGGUAAUCCCAAUAGGAAUAAGACAAACAAUGAGGUAAACGCAUUUGAAAAUUUAGAGGGAAGCUUUUUUGUUUGUGGAGUUGGUCUCCCCACUGGUUUGGGCUCAAGACUUUUAGAAUAGUAGCCGUGGAGUAGGCUGGUUCUGAAUGGGUUUCACUAAGAAAGAAAUGCUUGAAUUUUACAGACUCAGUGGCUUCUAAAAUGCUUUGAUAAUAAGAUUGGGGUUUUGUCAAAUCGCAAGGUUUGAAAAACCAGCCUUUAGGGAAAAACUUUGAAAUAGCUUGGAAAGGAUCAGUAUGGUAAAAACCAUCCUUCAUAGAUAAAAUAUUUUAGAAAUGAGUUUUAUCAAACCAAUCGGAGGUUUUCUUUGAAAGUUUUGGCUGGGAAAGAACAAUUUGAGAAGAUGAACUUUCACCAGAAACAACCACAUUUUGAGAAGAGGGUUUUGAAAUCUCUUUAGGAAUAUUUUCUUUAGGAGAAAUUUGGCUUUGAGAAAAACUUUGUAGGGCGAGCAUAAGCUCAGGGGAUUUAGAAAUGGAUUUCAUCCAUUCAUUUACCUAUUCAUGUAAGGCAAGCGCUUUAUACUGGGCUUCUUUAGGUGGAGAGGUUUGGGAAGCUUUAGAAUGUGUUUGGGACACAGGGUCUUUAAGAAUCCCUUUCCCCUUGUCUUUCUUUUUGGGCGGCAUUUAUCUGUUUUGGAGAACUUCCCUAGUUAGAAAAUCAGGGAUAGAAUUUGUAUCUCCUUUAAUAAAUUCAAUAUCAAAAUAAAAAACACUUAAAAUAGCUUACCACCAUGCAAAAAUUUAUUUUGAUGCAAUGUUUUGAACAUCUUUUUCUAAAACAUGUUUUGCAGCUUUGCAAUCAAUUCGAAGUAAAAAUUUUUGAUUUAGUAAAUCACUUUGGAAUUUGGAAAUGCACAAAACAAUAUAAAGAAUUUCCUUUUUGAUAGUAGAAUAAUUUUUCUGGCAUUCAUUCCAAUGUGCAGAAACAUAUUGUACUAUUUGUUCUCUAUUAUCUUCCUUUUGUUUUAAUAUGCCUCCAUAACUUAAAUCUGAUGCAUCUGUUUCAACAAUUUUAGGUAAUGCAGGAUUUGCAAGAAAUAAACAUGGAAUGUUUUUAACAGAAUUUUUUAUUAGUCUAACAGCUUUAGUAUGUUCAUCUGUCCAAGCAACGGGAUUCUUUUUUAACCUAUCAUGCAGUGGUUUAGACAUCCUAUUGAUGUUGGGACAGAAAUCAAGAACAUAAUUUAAACUACCUAAAAACCUUUGUAGUUGUGUUUUAUCAAGAAUUUUAACCUAUCAUGCAGUGGUUUAGACAUCCUAUUGAUGUUGGGACAGAAAUCAAGAACAUAAUUUAAACUACCUAAAAACCUUUGUAGUUGUGUUUUAUCAAGAAUUUUAUUAGGAAAUUUAUCAGCAAACAAAAGUGAUCGCUCAAUAGGUGUAAUAGUUCCUUUAGAAAUAUAGUGACCAAGGAAUCUUACUUUUGUUUGAAACAAUGAGACUUUAGAACUAAAAAUGGCUAGGCCAGCCUUUCUAGUGGCAAGGUAAAAGGUUUUUAAAUGUUUGAAAUGUUGAUCAAUUGUCUGAGAAAAAAUCAACACAUCGUCUAUAUAAACAAUGCAAAACUCAGAAAAAUUAUUAUAAAUAUCAUUCAUGAUUCUUUGAAAUUCUGAGGGUGCAUUCUUUAGUCCAAAUGGCAUUACAGUCCAUUCAUACUGUCCAAAAGGAACAGUAAAGGCAGUUUUAUAACGGUCUUUAGGGUGAAUUUGAAUUUGUCAAAAACCAGAUUUCAUGUCAAAUUUUGAAAAAAUAAAGGCAGAACAUAAUUUCUGGAGCAAAUCUUUUUUAUUAGGUACAGGAUACCUAAUCCAUUUUAAUGAUUUAUUUAAGGGUUUGUAGUUUAUUACAAGUCUUGGUGUUUCUCUUUUUAUUUUGAAAUUUUUAUUUACAUAAAAAGCGGCAUAAGACCACGGGGAUCUAGAUUUUACAAUGAGUCCUUUAGUUUCUAAAUCUUUUAUCUCAUUUUUACAGUGUUGUUCCAAUUCCAUGUUCAUUUGGAUUGGACGAGCUUUAGUGGGUAUUUGUUUUUCAUCAAAAGAAUUUUCAUAGGGCAAAUCUACCAAAUGUUGUUUUCUAUUCCAAAAAGCAGAUGGUAAAUCAGCGUAUAUUUCUUUUUCAAUGAGAUCUUUAAAAUUAGAGAUUUUUCUUUGUAUAAAGUCUUUUUGUAAUUGGCUUUCAAUUCUUUAUAAACUUAAAUCCUUUUUUAAACAAGGCAAGUUAUUUUGUUUAGAUUUAAGUAUGGCAUUGAUUUGGUUCUGGUAAACAGAACAAGCUUUGACAAUAUUUAAGUUUCUUGUUUUUGGUUUCUCAAUAAAAGGGAAAACAAGUUUUUGGUUUUUUGCUUUAAAAGAUAUACUAUCAUAAUUGACAGUAUAUGGGGUGAUAAGAUUUAUAAAUGGAGUUCCUAAAAUGACAGUAUGGUGUAUGUCAUUUGUAAGAAGAAAGGAAGUUCUGAAUUCAAAACCAUUGUUAUGCACUGAGGCAUCAACUUUUAAUUUAAUUUUUAAUUUUGAAUUAUUGGCGGCUGACAGUCUUUCUUUUGUCUUUUCAUGAAAUUUUUUAGGGACGAUAUCCUCUUUAAUACAAUUUAAAUCGACACCAGUGUCAAAGAGGGCAAUGGUGUCAAUUUCAAAAUCUUUUGAAAAGAUUAAAGUGAUUUUAAUCAAGUAUUUUCUGGUAGUGAUUUGUUUUAAAACAAACAGAAAAUCAUUGGGUAUAGAUUCAAUGUUUUCAAGAUUUUGUUCAUUAUCACCAUCAGAUUCAACUUCUUUAUCAGAAUUAUCUUCUAAUUGUUUUUGUAGGAGAAGUUGAAUGGUUUCAGAAUCAUUCUUUUGUUUUUCUUGUAAUUCUUUAAUCUCAAGUUUGAUUUCUUUGAUUUCUGUUUGAAGAUCUUGGAUAUUGGGGAUUAUUUUCUUUGUUUUCUUUUUACCCAAAAUUUCAGUGAGAUCGUAAGAAUUCUUUUUAAUAAUUGGAACUUUAGAAGUUUCUGCUUUAUUAGAAUCCAGGGUUUUUAAAAGUUUAUCAAGGUAUUCCUUUUGAAGAUUUGGAUCAGAAAUAUGUUUAACAAGCUCAAGAAAGAUUUCUUGGUCUUUGGUCAAAACAUUGAUUUUCUUUAAAUAAGAAUCUGAAUUACUGGUGUCAGAAUCACUAGAAGAAACAGAUUCAGAGUCAUUUAACUCAUCAACCUGUAGAGGCUCACUAUCUCCCGUCAUGAAAGACUCAGAGUCAGAAGACUCUACAAGUAAAGGGGCAACUUUAAAAAGAAUUUCUUCAUCAAGGCCAAGCUCAUGGAGCUUUCUGCUCAUACGACAGAAUUUUACAGUAUGGCCUUUCUUUCCACAUUUGUAACAUGUGGCUUCUCUGUAGUUAAAAGGGGUUUUUGGUUUGGCUCUAAACUCUUUCCUUUUAGAGAAGUUGGGCUUCUUAUAAGGCCUCGAUGGUUUCUUAUAAGAAAGUUCUCUAAAAUCUUGAAAGGGUUUCCUAUGGCUUUUUGAUUUGUAAUGUUUUUUGUAACGUUUCGAAGAACACUUACCAUUACAAUCCUUAGAAGUAGAAAUUUUAAAGGGGUCAUAAUUAAAUUGUUUACAGAAACUAACAAUUCUUGCUUAGAUUUCCUAAACUCCCAUUUUAGUCGUUUCUGUAACUUCAAAUCUUGACAAAUCUUUAAACCUUCUUUGUUGACAAAACUGACAAGUUCACCAUAGGUAAGCUCAUCAUAAGGAAUCCAGUUGUCAUAUAGGGCUUUAAUGGAAUUCCUAACCUUUUCUCCUAGUAGGGUCGGUAAACCUGCAAGGAAUUUCUUCUUCCAAGUUAUAUGAUUUGCAUUAUCCCUAAGGAAAAGUCUGGUAAAGAAUGUGGUUUUAUAGCUUUGGAAUUCACUAAGUUUCCUACACCUUAGAUUGUGUAGUAACUCAGCGUUCUUAUCCCUAAGGUGCGAAGGGUCACCUAUGAAAUAAAAGGAUAUAGUCAAAAUCAGGGUAACAACAGCAUCCUGAAUUGGACUAUUGAACUCAUCAAGAAUGGGGGCUCCAUUCUCAUCGACUUGAAUAGAGUUUAGGACAUCUAAUUGUUGCUGUUGAGUGAGAAGAUGAUCCCACCAACCUUUAAGUUGACCAGUAAAACCAGCCACCAGAAUUUCUGUUAUGGCUCUAUCAGAAGUUCCCGCCUGAGUUUUAUAGGCAUUGGCUGCCAUGGUCAUUUGUUGCAACAAGCCUAAGAUGUUGUACUUAGACAUACCAUCAAUAUUCCACUCAUAGACAAAAGAUGCAUUAAAUCUCGAUUAAUUUAAAUCACUCGGUCUAUUAUCUAUAGCUAGAUCUGAUGGAGUCUUGACAGUAGGUAAGGCUAAUUCCCAAUGGAUUUUGUUGGCUUUAGGAGCAGAUGGUUCAUCUAUAAAUGCUUUUAUAUCAGAAGAGGCUAUAGACAUUGUCAUGUUCCAGUACACCAAUCUUGCUAGAUUGAGCACUAUCUGGACCUUAGAAGAAGAAGAAGAAGCUUCUAUUCUAUCUAAUUGGUCUCUAAUGGCUUUAGCAAAAUCCGAUUUUGACUCUUGAACAAGCUUUUGGCUAGUUUUCGAAACCUGAAAAGGUUUGAAAAUAGGUUCCUUAAGCUUUUUGUCAGAAUCUGAUUUUGUGCUAAUAGGAGAAACAGCUAUGGUUGACUUUUGGAAUUGCCUUUCUAUCCUAGUCAACUGUUUUCAUAUUGUAUUUAAGUUAGUAUUACAUGAAUUAUUCUGUUGAAUAAUACUACUUAAAUUCGCAUUAGAAUCAUUUGGUUUAGGGAUUUUAUAAGGUGAGGCUCUAAUCUCAACAGGAAGUUCACCGUGGUUUAUAACUAAACUCCUAAGAGGUGGAUGCUCAGAUUCUAUGACUCUAUUGCUAUCAGAAAUGAUAGCAAUAUGUGUAAUAGUUUCUGUAAAAGAAUUUAAGGAAAUCGUUAUGUUUGGAUAACAAUUAAAUAAAAUGGGACCUUUACACAGACUUGAUUCUAUACUACUUAGUAAAGAAUCAUCAAAAGAGAUGAAUCGACCAUCUCUCAUAACGGCAAGGAUGGAAGUAUUAAGUCAUUCUUUAGUAAGAGGUUUUAUGCCGACUUGUAUUAAGCCAAUGUGAAUAUAAUUAAAGUUAUAUUGUAAAGAAUCUAUGUUGUUUUAAAUUGUUUUCUGUGUGUGUGCUGAAUUUUUUACUGGUAGUAAGUCCCGUUUUAGGAUAAGAUUUUCCGUUUAGGGCUGUAAAACCAUACCUGUAGGCAUUCAUAUAGAUUUUAGUUUUAACACCAUGGAUUCUCUACUCUGUAAAGCAUCAUCUUUCUCUAGCUCUUCUUCUGGAAGAACUAGUGAUUCAAAGAAUGUUGUGAAUUCGGAAGAAUUUGUGAUUGAAGAUUUCAAUAAAGCAAUUAAUAACUGGGAAUUACCUAAAGUUAAUAAAGAAAUGAUUUAUAAAACAAAAAAGCUUGAUUUUUUAAAGAAUGAUUAUGUUAUAAAGACUGAAGAACGCGAUAUAACCCUUUCAAAGCCUUUUGAAACAAUUCAUUUAUUUUCAGAGCAGUCUUUAAAGAAAUUAAGAGAUAAAAGCUUUAAUUAUAUUCACAUCGGCUUUAUACAAGUCGGCAUAAAACCCUUUACUAAAGAAUGACUUAAUACUUCCAUCCUUGCCGUUCUGAGAGAUGGUCGAUUCAUCUCUUUUGAUGAUUCUUUACUAAGUAGUAUAGAAUCAAGUCUGUGUAAAGGUCCCAUUUCAUUUAAUUGUUAUCCAAACAUAACGAUUUCCUUAAAAGAUAAGAACAUUUUAAAAAGUAUGAUUUUACAAAUCAAGACCCACAAUUAUGAUAUGAUUGAGGGAUCUAUUCCUGUAGCCUUAAUUUAUAAAAUUUCCUACAAAGCUAUGAUUUCUACGUUUAGAACGCAACAUAAAUUUCAGUCAAAAAGAGAUGAGACUCUUCUCUUACAGACUGACCUGUCUAAAGCCAACACUGUUAUUCCAAAACCUAUUCAAUGGAAAGAUGUCAAUCUUCCCGAUGAAUGGAUUCUUGAAGGAGCCACUGCCCCAGUGAUUCCAAAACAACUUGAGCCAAAUACAGAGUUGCAACAUGUGACUCAGUAUUCAGAUGGUAAAGUCAAAUUAUCCUUUCAGAGAUCUACAUCAACCAGAUUCUCUGAUAAAUAUUCAUGUUCAAGAAUUCCUUCAUUGGAAAGAAAAUUUUCAAAAGUACCUUCUAUUAUAAAUCUCCCUUUCCAACCUGUAAAGAGUCAACCUACGUUUUCCACUUUGGAUAUACCUAGUUCCUCUAUACAUUCUGUUGAUUAUACCACUAGUGUUCCUCACCCAAUCUACACUAGCAGCCAACAUGAACAAAGACAGGAAGAGAAGGAACCUCUCCUCCAACUUCUCCUACGUUUUCUGCAGUCACAGAAAAUGUUAUAAAUGUUAUUGAAAAAGAUUUUGAACUGGAUAAAACUUUUCUCCAUAAUGAUUUUUAUUCAGACGGUAAUAAAGACAAAAGACUUUGGUUUUUUAAACAUUUUCUAAAUCAAAGAAAAGAAAUUCAAGAGACAUAUUAUGAAUUUGUAAAUUCACAUAAAAUUCAUAUAUUGUUUUUUGAUUGGUUUGAGAUAUAUUCUUCGAAUAACAACAUCUCUUAUCCUUUUAAAGAGUCAAACCCUAUUACUAUUAGGAAGAAAAUUCCUGAGUGAAAACUUUCUGAUAGCAAUAGAGUCAGAGAAUCUGAGCAUCCACCUCUUAGGAGUUUAGCUAUAAACCACGAUGAACCUCCUGUUGAGAUUAGAGCCUCACCUUAUAAAAUCCCUAAACCAAAUGAUUCUGAUGCGAAUUUAAGUAGUAUUAUUCAACAGAAUAAUUUCUGUAAUACUAACUUAAAUACAAUAGGAAAACAGUUGAUUAGGAUAGAAAGUCAAUUCCAAAAGUCUUAAAUCAAAAGUUGAUGCCUCAGUGCAUAACAAUGGUUUUGAAUUCAGAACUUCCUUUCUUCUUACAAACGACAUACACCAUACUGUCAUUUUAGGAACUCCGUUUAUAAAUCUUAUCACCCCAUAUACUGUCAAUUAUGAUUUACAAAGAAUUGAAAGCCAAUUACAAAAAGACUUUAUACAAAGAAAAAUCUCUGAUUUUAAAGAUCUCAUUGAAAAAGAAAUAUGUGCUGAUUUACCAUCUGCUUUUUGGAAUGGAAAACAACAUUUGGUAGAUUUGCCCUAUGAAAAUUCUUUUGAUGAAAAACAAAUACCCACUAAAGCUCGUCCAAUCCAAAUGAACAUGGAAUUGGAACAACACUGUAAAAAUGAGAUAAAAGAUUUAGAAACUAAAGGACUCAUUGUAAAAUCUUGAUCCCCGUGGUCUUGUGCCGCUUUUUAUGUAAAUAAAAAUUCCAAAAUAGAAAGAGGAACACCAAGACUUGUAAUAAACUACAAACCCUUAAAUAAAUCAUUAAAAUGGAUUAGGUAUCCUGUACCUAAUAAAAAAGAUUUGCUCCAGAAAUUAUGUUCUGCCUUUAUUUUUUCAAAAUUUGACAUGAAAUCUGGUUUUUGACAAAUUCAAAUUCACCCUAAAGACCGUUAUAAAACUGCCUUUACUGUUCCUUUUGGACAGUAUGAAUGGACUGUAAUGCCAUUUGGACUAAAGAAUGCACCCUCAGAAUUUCAAAGAAUCAUGAAUGAUAUUUAUAAUAAUUUUUCUGAGUUUUGCAUUGUUUAUAUAGACGAUGUGUUGAUUUUUUCUCAGACAAUUGAUCAACAUUUCAAACAUUUAAAAACUUUUUACCUUGCCACUAGAAAGGCUGGCCUAGCCAUUUCUAGUUCUAAAGUCUCAUUGUUUCAAACAAAAGUAAGAUUCCUCGGUCACUAUAUUUAUAAAGGAACUAUUACACCUAUUGAGCGAUCACUUUUGUUUGCUGAUAAAUUUCCUGAUAAAAUUCUUGAUAAAACACAACUACAAAGUUUUUUAGGUAGUUUAAAUUAUGUUCUUGAUUUCUGUCCCAACAUCAAUAGGAUGUCUAAACCACUGCAUGAUAGGUUAAAAAAGAAUCUCGUUGCUUGGACAGAUGAACAUACUAAAGCUGUUAGACUAAUAAAAAAUUCUGUUAAAAACAUUCCAUGUUUAUUUCUUGCAAAUCCUGCAUUACCUAAAAUUGUUGAAACGGAUGCAUCAGAUUUAGGUUAUAGAGGCAUAUUAAAACAAAAGGAAGAUAAUAGAGAAUAAAUAGUACAAUAUGUUUCUGCACAUUGGAAUGAAUGCCAGAAAAAUAUUCUACUAUCAAAAAGAAAAUUCUUUCUAUUGUUUUGUGCAUUUCUAAAUUCCAAAGUGAUUUACUAAAUCAAAAAUUUUUACUUCGAAUUGAUUGCAAAGCUGCAAAACAUGUUUUAGAAAAAGAUAUUCAAAACAUUGCAUCAAAACAAAUUUUUGCACGAUGACAAGCUAUUUUAAGUGUUUUUUAUUUUGAUAUUGAAUUUAUUAAAGGAGAUACAAAUUCUAUCCCUGAUUUUCUAACUAGGGAAUUUCUCCAAAACAGAUAAAUGCCUCUCAAAAAGAAAGACAAGGGGAAAGGGAUUCUUAAAGACCCUGUGUCCCAAACACCUUUUAAAGCUUCCCAAACCUCUCCACCUAAAGAAAAAUUAAUUUCUUCUGCCAUGCCAAUCAAGUCUUGGAUCGACAUGAUAGAGGAUCAAGAAGCCCAGUCUAAAGUGCUUGCCUCACAUGAACAGGUAAAUGAAUGGAUGAAAUUCAUUUCUAAAUCCCCUGAGCUUAUGCUCGCCCUACAAAGCUUUUCUCAAAGCCAAAUUUCUCCUAAAGAAAAUAUUCCUAAAGAGAUUUCAAAACCCUCUUCUCAAAAUGUGGUUGUUUCUGGUGAAAGUUCAUCUUCUCAAAUUGUUCUUUCCCAGCCAAAACUUUCAAAGAAAACCUCCGAUUGGUUUGAUAAAACUCAUUUCCAAAAUAUUUUAUCUAUGGAGGAUAGUUUUUACCAUACUGAUCUUUUCCAAGCUAUUUCAAAAAUUUUCCCUAGAGGCUGGUUUUUCAAACCUUGCGAUUUGACAAAAUCCCAGUCUUAUUAUCAAAGCAUUUUAGAAGCCACUGAGUCUGUAAAAUUCAAGCAUUUCUUUCUCAGUGAAACCCAUUCAGAACCAGCCUACUCCACGGUUACUAUUCUAAAAGUCUUGAGCCCAAACCAGUGGGGAGACCAACUCCAUAAACAAAAAAGCUUCCCUCUAAAUUUUCAAAUGCGUUUACCUCAUUGUUUGUCUUAUUCCUAUUGGGAUUACCAACAAGCAUGGUUUAACACAUUUUUCAUACAAAACCCAAAGAAAUCUCAUUCCUGGUUAUUUUUCUUCAAUUCAAAAAUAACUGUUCAAAGCCUCCCUAAUUGGUUUCAACAAUGGUGGAACUCUUUUGGCCCAAUACCUCAGAUUUUAACUCCAAAUGCCACCCAUUGUUUAAACCUCUUUAAAACCCAUUAUAUCCCUUCUGAAUCCGAGAAAAGGUUUCCCCCCUUUCUCUGUUUCUGUACAAAUUUCUUCCUUCCAUGGGUAUGAAUGUGGAAUUUCAGAUAUCAUACCCAAGAAGCCCAACUCAUUUUACAAAGAACCUUUAAAGUAAAAUGGUGGUCAAAGUUCGACGAACAGACCAAAUUAACUGACACUCUGAUCCAAAAUUGGCUCUGUUCUAAAGGCUUCUUACCCCCAACCAUUAAAGAUAUCAAAGUCCAAGAAACCUUUCUUACCCAAAAAUCCAAAGCCCAAUCUCUUUUGGCCAGCGACAAAACUGAAGAAUAAUAUUUUAAAGUUAUGGAGCAGCUCCUCACUUCAAUAUCAAAGUCUUCAAUUGCUGACUCCUCUGAUGACGAUGAACAAGAUGAAGAGCCAUUUAUUUCUCUUGGAGACGAAAAUGAAGACGACUGUUUUGGAAUUUUCUCUCCGAUAAAGCAUUGUAAAUAGUUAUCAUUUAUAUGCAUGUAAAAAAAAAAGAGUAAUUAUAUUCCAUAUUUCUACUAUGUAUCUUUCCUUUCUUGUAUGAGAAUAUAUAUUUUUAUACCCUCGGGUGGUCCCCUGUACACAAGUGAGAGCGCACAUGUCUCUUCACCCAAAUCAUACAUGUAUUUUUAAAGAAUAUCUAAAGACAACUCCAAAGACUACUGUCUCAAGCUACAGUUUCGCUACAGUGAUGAAGCUACAGUUUCGCUACAGUUGUGAAGCUACAGACUCGCUACAGUUAAAGAUCCAGUCUUUGUAUUUAAAUCGGGAGGAAGACUUAGACUCUUCAGAUUUUUUAGAAUUCUAUUUUUUCAGAUUAAUUUCCCAUUCCUUCUGUAACAUUUUCCUUUAAAGAAAAACAAAGCAAAGAAAAAUCAAAUGUAAAAUUUGUAAUUUCUUUUAAAGCUUGUAAUAAAAUUAAAUUUCUGUAUGUUUAAAUUUCUGUAAUUUAAUUUAAAGCAUUUUUAAUUUCCACAAUUUAUUUUAAAGCAUUUAAGUUUCAGAAAUUUAAAUUUUAUGCAUGCUUUGCAGACUGAUUUGUAUCAGAUCUGCCAUAAAAAUUGUUACGUUCCUCAGAAGCAAAGAGACCGGAUCUCUGUCUUCUGUUGUAUCUUCUCUUCUCCCUCCAACCAUUCAGAGUAUUAUUUCUGGGAUCCAGAUCUAAUACUAUCUAUGAGCCUUUAGAUCUGUUGCUAGGCUUGCUAAAGAAAAUAUUUUCUGCUUAAAGAAUCUAAUCAAUAUUUGGUAAAGAAUUAAUUAAAUGGGUAUAUCGGCUGGAAACCAGAACAUGCGGGAUAUUGAUCUGUUCUAAGUCAGAUCUGGUCCCUGAGGCAAACUAGUCUCUGCAUUGAUCAGGUAGAACAACGCCACGUACCGAUUUAAUCAUAAUAAUAAGAACCCAUCCCACCUUUGCGACUUGAUUUCUUUAAUAAAACAUUUUCAUUUUCUAAUAUCACAUCCAUCUUUCGAUCCUAUAUCCUUCUGUAUAGGAUCGAAGGUAAAUAGGAUUAAACCUCUCGGAUCCAAGCAAUCUAUGUAAGCAUCUAUCCUAUUUAGUUUAUAUAAAUUUAAAAUUUGCAGAAAUUUUAAAUAAGAUUAAACCUCUCGGAUCCAAGUUACUCAGAAGGUAAAUAGGAUCGAAGGAUGGAUGUAAAUUAAGACAAAUUUAUGUAUUAAGGUUUAAUAUGCAAUCUAUAACUUGAAAUUAAAUCAGUACGUGGCGUUGUUACCAGAUUGAUGCAGAACUUAAUCUGUCUUUGUGACCAAAUCUGACUUAAAACAUAUCAAUAUCACGCACGUUCUGUUUUCCAGCCGAUAUACCAAAAUAAUUUUAAUCAAGCCUAGCAACAAAAUCUAAGGGCUCAUAGAUAAUACUAGAUCUGGAUCCCAGAAAUAGUAUUCUGAUUGAUUGAAGGGAGAAGAGAAAUACGACCAAAGGGAGAGAUCCGGUCUUUAUGCCUCAGAAGAAUGUAGUAGUGUAUAUAAAUUUAAAAUUUGCAGAAAUUUAAACGUACAUUUGAAACUUUAAAUAGAUUAAAUGAGAGAUGCUUACAUAGAUUGCUUGGAUCCGAGAGCUUUACAAUGGAAAAUGUUUACAGAUUUUGUAGAAAGGGAAAAUUACAAGACAGGAAUAAUUUUCCUUAAUGUCUUGAUCCUGAUUUCCCGAGAGAGAGAGAGAGAAAUUGUAAAUGUUGUAAACAAAACUCUGACUCUCAAUGUCACACAGCUUUGAAUUUAAGACAACUGAAGCUUGAACUGUGGCGAGUCUGUAGCUUCAACUGUAGCUUUAUUUGUCCAGUGUAGCGAAACUGUAGCUUUACCUACGUGGUUGGUGAGUGGAGACAGCAUCAUGGUGAAUGGACUUUGCUUUAUUGGCUUUUGCUAUAGCUUCACAUGCGUAGAUGAUGGAGCGGGAUCGUCAAGGCAUGUAGGGGACAGCAUCUUUCUUCUUUACAACUUUGAAAGAAAACAAAAGAUGGGUAAAGAGACAUGUGCGCUCUCACUUGUGUCCAGGGGACCACCCAAAAAUAAUAUAAAUACAAAUACAUUCGGAAAAUAAUUAUAACAAAGUAAUUGAUACAAAGAGAAAUUCAAUCGUUAAUUACAUGAGUAAUAAUUAUAAGGAAAUAAGUGAUAUAAGACAAUCUUUUUUUUUUAUACGAAGCUUUAAUGCUUUAAUGGAGAGAAUAUUCCGAAGCAGUCAUCUUCAUUUUCAUUUCCGAGGGAGAUGAACGGUUCAGCUUCUCCUGAGGAGCUUGAUGAAGAACUUGCAGCAGAUGUCUCUGAUCUUGUGGCAAGAAGUUGCUGCAUUACUUUGAAAUAUUCAUCCUCGGUUUUAGCACUGGCCAGCAGGGAUUGGGCUUUUACUCUCUGGGCAAGGAAAGUGCUUUGGGCUUUGACUAUGUCUUUACUUGGGGCAAUGAGGCCUCUUGUAAAAAGCCAGGAUUGGACCGUGGCUUUAGACAAUUUUGACUGUUCGUCAAAUUUAGACCACCAUUUGACUUUGAAGGUUCUUUGUAAGACUAGUUGGGUGUCUAUGGUGUGGUAUUGGAAAUUCCACAUCCAAACCCAGGGAAGGAAAAAGUUUGUACAGAAACAGAGAAAAGGAGGAAACAUCUUCUCAGACUCAGAAGGAACAUAAUGGGCUUUAAAUAAAUUUAAACAUUUAAUGGCAUUCUGGGUUAGAAUAUCUGGGCUUGGCCCAAAGUAGUUCCACCAAAUUUGGAACCAAUUUGGAAGGCUUUGGACGGUUAUUUUUGAAUUAAAGAAAAAUAACCAAGAGUGAUACUUUUUUGGAUUUUGGAUAAAAAAUGUGUUAAACCAGGCCUGCUGAUAAUCCCAGUAGGAGAAAGAUAAGCAAUAGUUUAAACGUCUUUGAAAAUUGGCGGGAAAAGUUUUUGGUUUGUGGAGUUGGUCACCCCACUGAUUUGGACUUAAGACUUUAAGAAUGGUAGCCGUGGAAUAGACUGGCUCAGAAUGAGCUUCACUAAGGAAGAAAUGUUUAAACUUUACUGACUCAGUGAACUCAAGUAUGCCUUGGUAGAAAGACUUGGGUUUAGAUAAAUCCCAUGGUUUGAAAAACCAGCCUUUCGGGAAAAUCUUUGAAAUUGCUUGAAAUGGAUCAGAAUGAUAAAACCCAUCAUCCAUAGUUAAAACAUUUUGUUGAUAGGCUUUAUUAAGCCAAUUCGAUGAUUUUUGUGAAAGCUUUGAUUGAGAAACAAUAAUUUGCCAAAAAGAGCUUUCACAUGAAACGAUUUCUUUAGAGGAAGAAGGUUUUGAAAUUGCUUUAGAAACAAGUUUUUCUUUCUCUUGGGUUUGAAAAAUAUUUUGUAAGGCGAGCAUAAGCUCUGGAGACUUUGUAAUAGAAUUCAUCCAUUCUUUUACCUGAUCUUCGAAGAUUAUGGCUUUAUAUUGGGCUUCAUGUUCUUCAACCAUUUCAAUCCAUGAUUUGAUGGGUAUGGCAGAAGAAAGUAAUUUUUCUUUAGAGGGGGUUGAUAGGGAUUCUUUGGAGGUUGCUUGUGACUCAGUGUCUUUAAGAACAACUUUAUCUUUGUCUUUUUUCUUGGGCGGCAUUAUCUGUUUUGAAGAAAUUCCCUGGUUAGAAAGUCAGGGAUAGAAUUCAUAUCUCCUUUAAUAAAUUCAAUGUCAAAAUAAAAAACAUUCAAAAUCUUGUCAUCUUGCAAAAAUCUAUUUCGAAGCAAUAUUUUGAACAUCUUUUUCCAAAACAUGUUUUGCAGCUUUACAAUCAAUUCUGAGUAAAAAUUUUUGAUUUAAUAAAUCACUUUGAAAUUUAGAUAUAUAUAAAACAAUAGAAAGAAUUUCUUUUUUAAUAGUAGAGUAAUUUCUUUGACAUUCAUUCCAAUGAGCAGAAAUGUACUGUACUAUUUGUUCUUUAUUAUUUUCUCUUUGCUUUAAUAUUCCUCCAUAACCUAAAUCGGAUGCAUCAGUUUCAACUAUUUUAGGUAAUGCAGGAUUAGCAAGAAACAAACAUGGAAUAUCUUUAAUAGAACUUUUUAUGAGCUUAACAACUUUAGUGUGUUCAUCUGUCCAUGCAACAGGGUUUUUCUUUAAUCAGUCAUGCAAAGGUUUUGAAAUCCUAUUGAUAUGAGGACAAAAAUCAAGAACAUAAUUUAAACUUCCUAAAAAUCUUUGUAGUUGAGUUUUAUCAAGAAUUUUAUCAGGAAAUUUAUCUGCGAAUGCAAGAGAUCGCUCAAUAGGUGUAAUAGUUCCUUUGGAGAUGUAAUGACCAAGGAAUCUGAUUUUUGUUUGGAAUAAUGAGACUUUAGAACUAGAAAUGGCUAAACCAGCCUUUCUAGUGGCAAGAUAGAAAGUUUUUAAAUGUUUGAAAUGUUGAUCAAUUGUUUGAGAAAAGAUCAAUACAUCAUCAAUAUAGACGAUAUAGAAAUCGGAAAAAGGAUUAUAAAUAUCAUUCAUAAUUCUUUGGAAUUAUGAAGGUGCAUUCUUUAAACCGAAUGGCAUAACAGUCCAUUCAUAUUGUCCAAAGGGAACAGUAAAAAUAGUUUUAUAACGAUCUUUAGGAUGGAUUUGGAUUUACCAGAAACCUGAUUUCAUAUCAAAAUUUGAAAAUAUGAAAGCAGAAUGCAGUUUUUGGAGUAAAUCUUUUUUAUUAGGUAUGGGAUACCUAAUCCAUUUUAAUGCUUUAUUUAGGGGUUUGUAAUUUAUUACAAGUCUAGGUGUUCCUCUUUCUAUUUCAGAGUUUUUAUUAAUAUAGAAAGCGGCACAAGACCAUGGAGACCGAGAUUUUACAAUGAGUCCUUUUGAUUCUAAGUCUUUUAUUUCUUCUUUACAAUGUUGUUCCAAUUCCAUAUUCAUUUGGAUUGGAUGGGCUUUGGUAGGUAUUUAUUUUUCAUUAAAAGAGUUUUCAUAAGGCAAAUCUACUAAAUGUUGCUUUCUGUUCCAAAAAGCAGAGGGUAGAUCCGCACAUAUUUCUUUUUCAAUGAGGUCUUUAAAAUAAGUGAUCUUUCUUUUUACAAAUUCGUUUUGUAAUUGGUUUUCGAUUCUUUGUAAACUCAAAUCCUUUUUUAAACAAAUCAGGUCAUUUUGUUUUGACUUGAGGAGUACAUUGAUUUGGUUCUGAUAAAUAGAACAUGCUUUAACUGUAUUCAAAUUUCUUAUUUUAAGUUUCUCAAUGAAAGGGAAAACAAGGUUUUUUGUUUUUGCUUUAAAAGAUAUACUGUCAUAGUUAACAGUAUAAGGGGUUAUAAGGUUAAUGAAGGGAGUUCCUAAUAUAAUAGUAUGAUGGAUAUCAUUUGUUAAAAGAAAGGAAGUCCUAAAUUCAAAACCAUUAUUAUAUACUGAGGCAUCAACUUUAGAUUUUACUUUUAAUUUUGAAUUAUUGGCGGCCGAGAGUCUUUCAUUUGUUUUUUCAUGAAAUCUUUUAGGGACAAUAUCUUCUUUAAUGCAAUUUAGAUCGGCACCAGUAUCAAAAAGGGCAAUGGUGUCAAUCUCAAAGUCUUUAGAAAGAAUUAAUGUAAUUUUUAUUAGGUACUUUCUCGUAGUGAUUUGUUUUAAAACAAACAGAAAAUCAUUUGGUAUGGAUUCAAUGUUUUCCACGUUUUGUUCAUUUUCAUUAUCAGUUUCAAUUUCUUUAUUAGAAUUAUCAUCUAAUUGUCUUUGUAGGAGGAGUUGAAUGGUUUCAGAAUCACUUUUUUGUUUUUCUUUUAAUUCUUUUAUCUCAAGUUUGAUUUCUUUUAUCUCUUUUUGAAAGGCUGGAAUACUAGGAGCUAUAGUUUUCUUUGUUUUCUUUUUAUCCAAAAUCUUAGUGAGAUCAUAAGUAUUCCUUUUAAUUAUUGGGGCUUUGGAAGUUUCUGUUUUAUUGAGUUCUAGGGUUUUUAAAAGUUUAUCAACGUAUUCUUUUUGAAGAUUUGGAUCAGAAAUAUAUUUAACCAAUUCUAGAAAAGUCUCUUGUUUUUUAGUCAAGACAUUAAUCUUCUUUAAAUAAGAUUCUGUAUCAGAAUCACUAUCACUGGAUACAGAUGUAUCUGAGUCAAUUAACUCAUCAACCUGUAGAGGUUCACUAUCUCCCGUCAUGGAAGACUCAGAGUCUGAAGACUCUACAAACAGAGAGGUGACUUUAGAAAGGGUUUCUUCAUCAAGGCCAAACUCAUGGAGCUUUCUAUUCAUUCUACAAAAUUUUACAGUAUGGCAUUUCUUUCCACACUUGUAACAUGUGGCUUCUUUGUAGUUAAAAGGGGCUUUCUGUUUCGCUCUAAAAUCCUUCUUUCCAGAGAAGUUAGGCUUCUUAUAAGGCCUUGAAGGUUUCUUAUACGAAAGUUCUCUAGAUUCUUGGAAAGAUUUCCUAUGGCUCUUGGACUUGUAAUGUUUUUUGUAAGGUCGUGAAGAACACUUACCAUUACAAUCUUUAGAGAUGGAAGUUUUAAAGGGGUCAUAAUUGAAUUGCUUACAGAAACUGCCUAAUUCUUGCUUAGAUUUCCUAAGCUCCCAUUUUAGAUGUUUCUGAAGUUUCAAAUCCUGGCAAAUCUUUAAGCCUUCCUUAUUAACAAAACUGACUAAUUCACCGUAGGUGAGUUCGUCAUAAGGAAUACGGUUAUCAUAGAGGGCUUUUAUGGAAUUCCUAACCUUUUCUCCUAAUAUGGUAGGUAAACCUGCAAGGAAUUUUUCCUUCCAAGUUAUAUGAUUUGCAUCAUCCCUAAGGAAGAGUCUGGUAAAGAAUGUGGUUUUGUAACUUUGGAAUUCACUAAGUUUCCUAGAUCUCAGGUUAUAUAGUAACUCAUCAUUUUUAUCUCUUAGGUGUGAAGGAUCACCUAUGAAAUGAAGGAAUAUAGUCAAAAUCAAGGUAGCAACAGCAUCUUAAAUUGGACUAUUGAUUUCAUCAAGGAUGGGGGCUCCAUUCUCAUCUGUCUGAAUAGAGUCAAGGAUAUCUAAUUGUUGCUGUUUGGUGAGAAGAUGAUCCCACCAACCUUUAAGUUGACCAGUAAAACCAGCAAUGAGAAUUUCUACAAUGGCCUUGUCAGAAGUUCCCAACUGAGUUUUAUAAGCAUUGGUUGUCAUGGUCAUUUGUUGCAACAAUCUUAGGAUGUUGUAUUCAGACAUAUCAUCAAGGUUCCACUCAUAGAUAGAAGAUGCAUUAAAUCGUGAUUGGUUUAAUGCAGCAAGUCUGUUGUCUAUGGCCAAAUCAGGUGGAGACUUGACAGUAGGUAUGGCUAAUUCCCAAUGGAUUUUGUUGGCUUUGGAAAUAGGUUCUUCUUUAAAUGCUUCUAUAUCAGAAGAGGCUAUAGAAACAUUGUCUUGUUCUAGUACACCAAUCUUGCUAGAUUGGGCACUAUCAGGGGCUAUUUGGAUUUUACUAGAAGAGGAAGAAGAAGCUUUUAUUCUAUCUAGUUUUUCUUUAAUGGCUUUAGCAAAAUCUGAUUUUGACUCUUGAACAAACUUUUGACUAGUUUUCGAAACCUGAAAAGGUUUGAAAAUAGACUCCUUAAGCUUUUUGUCAGAAUCCGAUUUUGAUGUAACAGGGGAAACAGCUAUGGUUGACUUCUGGAAUUGAUUUUCUAUUCUGGUCAACUGUUUUUCUAUUGUGUUUAGAUUAGCAUUACAGAAAUUAUUCUGUUGAAUAAUGCUAUCUAAAUCUGUCUCCGGGUCUUUAUGAAUUUUAUAAGGUGAGGUUUUAAUCUCAAUAGGAGGUUCGCCAUGAUCAAUGGUUAUACUUCUAAGAGAAAGAAGCAUUAAUUGAUUUGCGGAUACAGAGAAGAUAGAAUCAUUUCUGACAAGAAAGCAAAACACAUUUCUAUAUAAAAGUCUAUAUCUACGGAAUUCUAAUGUUUUGGUAGAAAUGAAAGAACGGGGGGACAACAUUGAAUUCCUAAAACACAAAGGGGAUAUGGAGAUAUGGCGAAAUUGGUAGAUGCUACGGACUUAAUUGGAUUGAGUCUUAAUAUGGAAACUUACUAAGUGCUAACCUUCAAAUUCAGAAAAACCCAGGAAAAAAAAAUGGAUAAUCCUGAGCCAAAUCCUCUUCUCUUUUCCAAGAUCAAACAUGGGUUUAGAAAGUGAAAAAGGGGAAUAGGUGCAGUGACUCAAUGGAAGUUGUUUUAACAAAUGAAGUUGACUACCCAUUUUGGUAAAUAAAAAAGAAAGUAAAACAAAGGAUAAGGGUAUAUAGACUAGGUUUACGCAAUGAAAAACUAACUCAAAAAAUCACAAUAAAUUCUUAUUUCUUUUUAUGAAAAAGAAAAAAGCUACUAUGAAUCGAUUCUAGGUUAAAGAAAGAAUCGAAUAUUCUUGACUCAAAUCAUUCACUCCACCUUCGUGGUCUGAUCGAUCAUUUCUUUUGAAUUUUGAAGAAUUGAUUAAUCAGACGAGAGUAAAAAUAGAGUCACAUUCUACAUGUCAAUAUUAAUAUGGGCAACAAUGAAAUUUAUAAUGAAAGGAAAAUCUGUCGACUUUAGAAAUCAUGAGGGUUCAAGUCCCUCAACGAAUUCGCCAAGUUGGGUGCUUUAACCAUUCAGCCAUGGAUGCUUAGUGGGGAUCCUUGUACAUGGUGAAUAACCAAAAUUUAAUUGAAAUGAAAUCUUUAGGAUAAAUCAACGUAAUUUAGGAGGAAUCAAUGAAAGGACAUCAAUUCAAAUCUUGGAUUUUCUAAUUGAGAGAGAUCAACAAUUCUCACAAUUUCUUAGAUUCAAGAACCCAAUUCAAUUCAAUGGAAUCUUUAAUUCACAUUUUUUUCCAGCAAGAACGUUUUAUAAAACUUUUGGAUCCACGAAUUUGGAGUAUCCUACUUUCACACAAUUCACAGGGUUCACACACACACACAUGCGCAUAUAUUGGAAUGCAAAUAUUUGAUAUAAAUCUUGUUAAAUAUAUAGAUAUUAAGCAAGUUAUUGAGUAACUUAUUUAUUUUCCAUGUCAGAUUAGGGUCUUAAUAUUUUCACACGAUUAUUAAAUGGCUCAUGUUUAGGUCAGCUUAAACUUGACACAGCACAAGAUUGACAUGACACAAACACGACCUGAUAACCGUUUUGCUACUCCUUGCUACGCAGAUGGUUUGGUUCUGUUUGAGGACUAAGCGUCAUAAAGGCUCAUCAGAGAAAGAGUUAUGGCACCGACAAGAUCUUUCAGUAUAUAGCCAUUACUACUUAAAGGGUCAUCCGAUUUCUACGAAUUGACAAAAUCAUUGCUUGUUUCAGCCUGGCUGAUAUUGCCAAUGAGAUUAGAAUAAAACAUCUUUGUCCCAGGAGCCACUAACUAAAGAGUUGUGGGGGUUUAUAUUCGAUGAAAUUAAACGAAAAGCUAAGCAUGCAGAUGAAAUUAGAAGAAAAGCUGAAUCUGGACAUAAUACCUAAUUUUGCAAAUGGUCCAAAGGCGGAUAUCAGAAAAGGUUUUCGGAAAUUAUUUUCAGCUAAAGGUGAUUGUACUCUGAAUGAAAUGGAUACAAAAUGUGAUCUCAUCCAAUACUUGGAAGAAGUUAACUUAGUUUUGAUAAAAGCCUUAUAUUCUGGCACAUUGUUACAGAAUUCCUUUACGAAGAAACUGCUAAAGAAGUAAUUUCAGAUGAAAAGACUUACAAUGCUAGAGAAUUCAGCAAGAUCCUCUCGGAAUGCAUGCUGUAUCUUUUAGUUUUGAAGCCUACCAUGCUUUUCCAAAAAAAAUGUUAGAUUGGAAAUUCUCCGUGAUGAGGCCAAGAUUUGUUUUCAAGGAAAGAUUUCACUGGCGAUGAGAACAGAACUAAGUUCAUAUGUGACUGCCUUACCGUUAGAUCAAGCAAAAAGGAUGGUCGAUAAGCUCCAAAGUCUUCAUUGUUAUAAGGAUAAGAAAUGGGAGAUAGUGAGCAAAGUUCGGGUGGAAUUGAUAUCAUAUGCAGCAUGUCACAGCAGAUCAACAAGGACACAUGUCGAGCAAGUUAGUAAUGGUGGGGAGCUUUUUACUUUUGUUUGGGUAUUGAUGGCUCAUUUUGGUCUUGCGGAACCUAAAUCAGAAGAUUGAACACAUAUGUGUUGUGCAAAGUCACUGCAUCCUUUCAAUGUCAAUGUUUCAUCAUCAUUUUGCUGCACUCGAUCGUGUACUAUGAACACAAAUUUAGGAUACUUAUCAUUAGUCAUAAAUAAAUCCUCGUGUUUGAAUUUCAGCCAGUUGGGUUGGAUGUGGUUUCUAGAUGGAUCAGAGUUAUCUAGGCCCAUGAAUACUACUUCUAUCACUACUCCAGGCCCAGGAUAAGGUUCUAGCCCAUGAGUCAUCAACAACAAGAAAGCUGAAGUCAACCUCAAAUUUGAUUAGGAAUUAUUAGAUUCAAGAACGCCAAAAAAUAUUUCAAUUCUCAAUUUAUUUUCAAACUCAAUAAUUUUAAUAAUUCCAGUAUUAUUAAAUUUGAGAACAUCAAAAAUUUAAUUAUUAAACAAAAAUAAAUUUAAUUAUCAAUGAUUCAAUAUGAAGAGGCUCUGAUAGCACGUGUUAGAACAAAAAAUCCUUUAGUGAAAAACAUCGCCUAUAAUUCAAGAACAUUCAUUUUGUAUCACCAAAAAUUAAUAAUAAAAUAUGCAGAAUCUUACCUGAAUAUAGUGCUUAAUUGCUCUUCGGAGUAGUGUGGUUGGCUUUCUAGAUCAACAUGUUCUCAUAGAUAAUCCUUUAAUUUUCUCUAUAUUCUCUCUCUCUCUAAUAAUGGAAUGUCAGAAAAAAUAAAAAGAUACGUGUGACCUGGAGACCAUGACCACUUAUAUUGACAACUUUUCCUAUUGUUUUUAAGUAUUCUUAUUUUAGCCUAUCAUAGAAAUAAAAAUUACACUUAAGUCUUUACACAUUAAAACUCCACACUCUAUGAGAUACAUUAAGCUCAUAUUACUAAAAAUCUUAAUGGAUUACUUUUAAUUAGGCUUAUCCUUAUAUGACAGUUCACAACACAUAAUUAUUCACAGAUAAACGCAACAUUAAAUUAAGGGUCCAACAAUUCUAAAUUAAAAAUCUAACAGGAACAACAUAAAUGGAAACCAAAAUGCUAAAAGCUCCUUAUGCUUCUUCUCCGAAAUAUCUUUUGCAAGUACACUGAACAGAUUACCGAGAUUAUCACUUUAUUAUCGGUGCCUUUUUGGAGAGGAGCAAACAAAAUCAAGAUCGUUUGUAAUGAAGACUGAACAAGAUUACACCUCGUAUGUUCCAGUUAUCCGAUAUUUGCUUGACGCUUUCAAGAAUUGGAUUAACCAUUUUUUGUGUUGCUAUAAAAAUUUGAAACAAUGGAUUUUAGCGUCUUGAAUGUUAUUUUUGAGAGAACAAAAACAGGAAUAGAUAGAUUGAGGAUUUUUUCUUUUUUGGUUGAAAUUUUAAUUUGUAACUUAUAUUAUUAGCUUCUAGAAAUAUCUGUUGUUAAAAUCAUAAGUAGCUGAAUUAAUCGAUGAAAAAUGAGCCAACUCACUAGUGUGUGGAAAAACCAAGUUAAAUUAAAAAGAAUGCGUCGGUACUAAGGCCUACUGUGAACAAAAGGAGAACUCUAUCACUCAGUCGCUGGCCUUUAGCUGAACAAAUUCUCUUGAUAGCCUUUGGAUCAUUUUUGGCAUCCUGCAUGGUAAAGUCUAGAACGCUAUCUUUUAUGGGACCUGGUAUAUGAUUUGAUUGUGCAAUGUGCACAUUAAAAAAAUAUUGAUUUAUAUUUUUCCUUUAUAUGCUGGCCUAGUGUAAGUUUAAUCGUUAGAAAACAUCAAAAUAGUUAAUGUUUCAACCUUUCUUUUUGUAUAUAUUUGCAUAACUCACUUUCAACCAAGACAAAAGCAGGUUAAUAAUUGAUGCAAAAUGUCUAACGUCAUUCAUGCCAAAUAUCUAACUUCAUUUUCAUUUUUUUUCCCCCUAAAGAUCAAUCUUUUAUUAGGCGAGUCUUGGUCUAGAGUUGG
rnacentral:lncRNA from 1 species